rnacentral:rRNA from 1 species
UAACACAUGCAAGUCGUGCGAGAAAGUAUCUUCGGAUAUGAGUAGAGCGGCGGACGGGUGAGUAACGCGUAGGAAUCUACCUAGUAGAAGGGGAUAGCCCGGGGAAACCCGGAUUAAUACCGUAUACCUCCUUCGGGAGAAAGAAGGCCUCUCUUUGAAGCUUUCGCUAUUAGAUGAGCCUGCGUAAGAUUAGCUUGUUGGUGAGGUAAAGGCUCACCAAGGCGACGAUCUUUAGCUGGUCUGAGAGGACGAUCAGCCACAUUGGGACUGAGACACGGCCCAGACUCCUACGGGAGGCAGCAGUGGGGAAUAUUGGACAAUGGGCGCAAGCCUGAUCCAGCCAUACCGCGUGUGUGAAGAAGGCCUUCGGGUUGUAAAGCACUUUAAGCAGGGAGAAAAAGUUAUAAGUUAAUACCUUAUAACCGUGAUGUUACCUGCAGAAUAAGCACCGGCUAAUUCCGUGCCAGCAGCCGCGGUAAUACGGAAGGUGCAAGCGUUAAUCGGAAUUACUGGGCGUAAAGCGCGCGUAGGUGGUU